GCCCAAACCGCUAGCCCAACCUAUAAAGACCAACAACCAAUGUUUAUAACCCCACACGGAAGAAUAAGCCUAAAACAAACCAUUUUCCCCCCUCAGUAUGGGAGACAAAAAAGGGAACUGGCGCUAUAGAGACUAGUACCGCAAGGGAACGCUGAAAGAGAACUGAAACAAAUCAGUUAAGGCUGAAGAAGCAGAGACUACCCCUCGUACCUUUUGCAUCAUGACUUAGCAAGUACCCCCAAGCAAAGAGCCCUUUAUGUUUGAACCCCCGAAACUGUACGAGCUACUCCGAGACAGCCUAUGUAGGGCGAACCCGUCUCUGUGGCAAAAGAGUGGGAAGAACUCCGAGUAGAGGUGACAGACCUACCGAGCGCAGUUAUAGCUGGUUGCCUGAGAAACGAAUAGAAGUUCGACCUUUUAAUCUUUUUGCCCAAGAGAGAGAACUCUCCCCCUCCGGCCCAAAGAGUAUUAAAGGAGCUAUUCAAAAGAGGAACAGCUCUUUUGAAAUAAGAUACAACUUUUUGUGGCAGGGUAAAGACUAACACUAGUAAGGAACACGCUCAGGCGGGCCUAAAAGCAGCCAUCCUAUCCAAAAGCGUUAAAGCUAAAGCGUGCCAACCUCUCCCCCAAUUCUAGCCACACCAUCUUAUCCCCCCUCCCCCAUAUCAGGCCCUCCCAUGCCACCAUGGGAGCGAAGCUGCUAACAUGAGUAAUAAGGGAGGCCAACCCCUCCCUCCCUGCCUCCGUGUAAUCAGAUCAGACUCUAACUGAAAAUUAACGCCCCCAUAAAGAGGGCAGUAGGCGACCAUGUAGACAACCAGAUGUCCCCCUAAGAUUAAGCGUUGGUCCCACACCGGAAGGCCCAAGGAAAGACACAAGGGAAGAGAAGGAACUCGGCAAACACUAGCCUCGCCUGUUUACCAAAAACAUCGCCUCUUGCAACCCCAGUAUAAGAGGUCCCGCCUGCCCUGUGACGCAAGUUUAACGGCCGCGGUAUUUUGACCGUGCAAAGGUAGCGUAAUCACUUGUCUUUUAAAUGGAGACCUGCAUGAAUGGCAUAACGAGGGCUAAACUGUCUCCUCCUCUCAGUCAAUGAAAUUGAUCUGCCCGUGCAGAAGCGGGCAUGCGCACAUAAGACGAGAAGACCCUAUGGAGCUUAAGGCUCUCAAACAGACCAAGUCAAUCACCCCCAAUAACGGGAAACAAACUAAAUGUUUACUGUCUGGCUGCCUUUGGUUGGGGCGACCACGGAGGAACGAUUAGCCUCCAAGCGGAACAGGUACACACCCUUUAAGCCAGAGCCACAGCUCUAGCGCCCAGAACUUCUGACCACUAAGAUCCGGCAACGCCGAUUAACGGACCCAGUUACCCUAGGGAUAACAGCGCAAUCCUCUUUCAGAGCCCAUAUCGACAAGAGGGUUUACGACCUCGAUGUUGGAUCAGGACAUCCUACUGGUGCAGCCGCUAUUAAGGGUUCGUUUGUUUAACGAUUAAAGUCCU
rnacentral:rRNA from 1 species